rnacentral:rRNA from 1 species
GGCCCUACGGGGCGCAGCAGGCGCGAAAACUUUACAAUGCGGGCAACCGUGAUAAGGGAACCUCGAGUGCCUGUACAUGCAGGCUGUUCGGGUGUCUAAAACACACCUGAAGAAAGGGCCGGGCAAGACCGGUGCCAGCCGCCGCGGUAAUACCGGCGGCUCGAGUGGUAACCGUUAUUAUUGGGUCUAAAGGGUCUGUAGCCGGCCGGAUAAGUCUCUUGAGAAAUCUGGCAGCUUAACUGUCAGGCUUUCAGGAGAUACUGUCUGGCUCGAGGCCGGGAGAGGUGAGAGGUACUUCAGGGGUAGGGGUGAAAUCUUGUAAUCCUUGAAGGACCACCAGUGGCGAAGGCGUCUCACCAGAACGGACCUGACGGCAAGGGACGAAAGCUAGGGGCACGAACCGGAUUAGAUACCCGGGUAGUCCUAGCCGUAAACGAUACUCGCUAGGUGUCGGCCACGGUGCGACCGUUGUCGGUGCCGUAGGGAAGCCGUGAAGCGAGCCACCUGGGAAGUACGGCCGCAAGGCUGAAACUUAAAGGAAUUGGCGGGGGAGCACCACAACGGGUGGAGCUUGCGGUUUAAUUGGAUUCAACGCCGGAAAUCUUACCG